AUACCUUUCUCGGUCUCUUGGCUAAGAUCAAGUGUAGCAUCUGUUCUUAUCAGUUUAAUAUCUGAUAUGUGGGUCAUCGGUCCACUAAAAUACACGAGUCGCCCAUGCGUUGCACUACUGCAUAAGCAUGGCUCAACCCAC
rfam:Arabis alpina cultivar Pajares Aa.chr6_contig_1214, whole genome shotgun sequence.